rnacentral:rRNA from 1 species
AUACGGAGGGUGCAAACGUUGCUCGGAAUCAUUGGGCGUAAAGCGCACGUAGGCGGUCCAGCAAGUCGGGUGUGAAAGCCCUCGGCUUAACCGAGGAAGUGCAUUCGAAACUACUGGACUUGAAUACUGGAGAGGAUCGCGGAAUUCCCGGUGUAGAGGUGAAAUUCGUAGAUAUCGGGAGGAACACCAGUGGCGAAGGCGGCGAUCUGGACAGAUAUUGACGCUGAGGUGCGAAAGCGUGGGGAGCAAACAGGA